rnacentral:rRNA from 1 species
UCGAGAAUUUUUCACAAUGGGGGCAACCCUGAUGGAGCGACGCCGCGUGGGGGAUGAAGGGCUUCGGCUCGUAAACCCCUGUCAUGGGCGAUCAAAUCAACCGUUUUAACAGAGCGGUUGCUGAUAGUAGCCUAAGAGGAAGGGACGGCUAACUCUGUGCCAGCAGCCGCGGUAAUACAGAGGUCCCAAGCGUUGUUCGGAUUUACUGGGCGUAAAGGGUGCGUAGGUGGCGAGACAAGUUCGGUGUGAAAUCUUCGGGCCUAACCCGAAAAAUGCACUGAAAACUGUCUUGCUCGAGGGUUGAAAAGGAGAUUGGAAUUCUCGGUGUAGCAGUGAAAUGCGUAGAUAUCGAGAGGAACACCAGUUGCGAAGGCGAAUCUCUGGGCAACACCUGACACUG